ACAUAGGGUGCAAGCGUUGUCCGGAAUUAUUGGGCGUAAAGAGCUCGUAGGUGGUUUGUUACGUCGGUUGUGAAAUUCAGGGGCUCAACCCCUGACUUGCAGCCGAUACGGGCAAGCUAGAGUUUGGUAGGGGAGACUGGAAUUCCUGGUGUAGCGGUGGAAUGCGCAGAUAUCAGGAGGAACACCGAUGGCGAAGGCAGGUCUCUGGGCCAAUACUGACACUGAGGAGCGAAAGCGUGGGGAGCGAACAGGAUUAGAUACCCUGGUAGUCCGCACCGUAAACGGUGGGCACUAGUUGUGGGAACCUUCCACGGUUUCCGCGACGCAGCAAACGCAUUAAGUGCCCCGCCUGGGGAGUACGAUCGCAAGAUUA
rnacentral:rRNA from 1 species